GCGGAGGAAAAGAAACCAACAGGGAUUGCCUCAGUAACGGCGAGUGAAGCGGCAAGAGCUCAAAUUUGAAAGCUGGCCCCCUCGGGGUCCGCAUUGUAAUUUGCAGAGGAUGCUUCGGGAGUGGCCCCCAUCUAAGUGCUCUGGAACGGGCCGUCAUAGAGGGUGAGAAUCCCGUAUGGGAUGGGGUGUCCGCGACCAUGUGAAGCUCCUUCGACGAGUCGAGUUGUUUGGGAAUGCAGCUCUAAAUGGGUGGUAAAUUUCAUCUAAAGCUAAAUAUUGGCCGGAGACCGAUAGCGCACAAGUAGAGUGAUCGAAAGAUGAAAAGCACUUUGAAAAGAGAGUUAAAAAGCACGUGAAAUUGUUGAAAGGGAAGCGCUUGCGACCAGACUCGCCUACGGGGUUCAGCCGGUAUUCGUACCGGUGUACUUCCCCGUGGGCGGGCCAGCGUCGGUUUGGGCGGCCGGUCAAAGGCCCUCGGAAUGUAACGCCUCUCGGGGCGUCUUAUAGCCGAGGGUGCCAUGCGGCCAGCCCGGACCGAGGAACGCGCUUCGGCACGGACGCUGGCAUAAUGGUCGUAAGCGACCCGUCUUGAAACACGGACCAAGGAGUCUAACAUCUACGCGAGUGUUCGGGUGUCAAACCCGUGCGCGCAGUGAAAGCGAACGGAGGUGGGAACCCUCACGGGUGCACCAUCGACCGAUCCUGAUGUCUUCGGAUGGAUUUGAGUAAGAGCGUAGCUGUUGGGACCCGAAAGAUGGUGAACUAUGCCUGAAUAGGGCGAAGCCAGAGGAAACUCUGGUGGAGGCUCGCAGCGGUUCUGACGUGCAAAUCGAUCGUCAAAUUUGGGUAUAGGGGCGAAA
rnacentral:misc_RNA from 1 species